rnacentral:rRNA from 1 species
AGCCAGACUCCUACGGGAGGCAGCAGUGGGGAAUAUUGCACAAUGGGGGAAACCCUGAUGCAGCAACGCCGCGUGAGUGAAGAAGUAUUUCGAUAUGUAAAGCUCUCUCAGCAGGGAAGAAGAUGACGGUACCUGAUUAAGAAGCCCCGGCUAACUACGUGCCAGCAGCCGCGGUAAUACGUAGGGGGCAAGCGUUAUCCGGAUUUACUGGGUGUAAAGGGAGCGUAGACGGCAUGGCAAGUCUGAAGUGAAAGCCCGGGGCUCAACCGCGGGACUGCUUUGGAAACUGUUAAGCUGGAGUGCAGGAGAGGUAAGUGGAAUUCCUAGUGUAGCGGUGAAAUGCGUAGAUAUUAGGAGGAACACCAGUGGCGAAGGCGGCUUACUGGACUGUAACUGACGUUGAGGCUCGAAAGCGUGGGGAGCAAACAGGAUUAGAUACCCGAGUAC